rnacentral:snRNA from 1 species
CCCUAACGAUUCUGCUCGUUCU